UACGUAGGGGGCAAGCGUUGUCCGGAUUUAUUGGGCGUAAAGAGCGUGUAGGCGGCUAGAUAGGUCCGUUGUGAAAACUCGAGGCUCAACCUCGAGACGUCGAUGGAAACCAUCUGGCUAGAGUCCGGAAGAGGAGAGUGGAAUUCCUGGUGUAGCGGUGAAAUGCGCAGAUAUCGGGAGGAACACCAGUGGCGAAGGCGACUACCUGGCCUGUUUCUUGACGCUGAGGCGCGAAAGCUAGGGGAGCAAACGGGG
rnacentral:rRNA from 1 species